rnacentral:misc_RNA from 1 species
GACCUGGCCUGAUGUAAAAUAUUCUUCUUUUUCUCUCCUCUUUAAAUUUAUGUGUUGGGCCACUAUCUUUGAUUACAUUCUUACCUUCACAAAAUUAAUUGUUAUUUUGCUUAGAUAAGUCCUUCUUGGGCUGACCAUUUUAUCAAAAAGCAAAGAAAAAUUUUGCUUGAAGUAGAGUGAAGUAUAUUUAGAAACCAGCAUUGCCAAUAUUUUCCACGUAUACCAUAUUUAAGUUCUCUCUACAUUGAUUCUUGAUAAGAAAUUUGCCCUUUGACAAACCUAAAACUUUUAAGAGAGAAACACUGGGAAAAGUUGGCAUUUAAGCACCUGCAGUUACAGAAUUUAGAAUUUUGCUGUUAUAUGUGUGUGUGUGUGUGUGU